UACAGAGGUCCCAAGCGUUGUUCGGAUUCACUGGGCGUAAAGGGUGCGUAGGCGGUCGGGUAAGUCUGAUGUGAAAUCUCACAGCUUAACUGUGAAACUGCAUUGGAUACUAUCCGGCUUGAGGAAUGGAGGGGAGACUGGAAUACUUGGUGUAGCAGUGAAAUGCGUAGAUAUCAAGUGGAACACCAGUGGCGAAGGCGAAUCUCUGGACAGUUACUGACACUGAGGCACGAAGGCCAGGGGAGCAAACGGG
rnacentral:rRNA from 1 species